rnacentral:lncRNA from 1 species
CGGAACAGGAUCUGCUCUCAAGGAACUUAUAUUCUGUGGGUGAGGUGGGGCUAACCCCACAUAUGCGAAACCCAGUCUCCUCCAACAGCCCCGGACCGUGUCUCCCCGCCCAGUUCCGGCCCUUAGGAUGCCCCUCACCCCCACCCAAUGGGUCACAAUAGGGCCAUGGUAGCCUCUCAGGAGCUGGGACUGGACUGGAGAAGAGGGGCCCUGGCAGCUCCAACAGCAGGGCCCCCAGCCCCCCGGCCCCCAGCUCCUCUAUUCCAUCUGGGGCUGGCUAAGUUCCGGGACCAGCGGGGUCGCCAACGGCGGGGAUGAGUUGCAGGAGCAACUCUGAAAACACCGACAACUCCAACAACUCCGAGGUUUCUCGGCUCUGGAAGCUAUUACAAGAUCUGCAGUUCGAAUGCGGGCAAUGCAUAAACUGCCUCCAGUCCCUGGAGCAGAGGAGGAAUUCCCGGUGCUGGAGAUGGAUUAACGAGUGCACUACCGCGUUCUCAGUCCAGCAAGAGCAAGACCAGGAGGAGACUCAAGAAGGGGAUGAGGAUGAGGACGGGGACGGGGAAGGGGAAGGGGAAGGGGAAGGGGACGGGGACGGGAACAGGAACGGGGACUGCGCCCUGUGUUUGAUUCUGGCCCCGAACUCGCCUCGCCACAGCGUCACAGGGAGCAGCUCCCAAUCUUCUGAGUGUCCUCCUUCAGAAAGGCAAGGUUGGGCGCCCGAUUUUCAGUGGCCGAAUCCACUGGAGCUAGCCUUGGACGUGUCCGCGCUAUUGGCUCUGCUUUCCUUUCUUCGAGCCGACGAUUCCGGAAUGCUGCUGCUCUUCGCCGCGUGGCUCUUUAUCCUUUACCUCUUGGUCACGAUCCCCCUGGUGCUGAUGCUUGGCAGCAGGCGGCGAUCUCGCCGGAGGCGGGCUCCGAGGCGAUAUUAA